CCGCCAAGCCGCGGCCACUCUUACCCUCUUCCUCAGCCCAAGUGCAUAUCAGUUUUCCCUCCAUUGUUUACUGCAAGGCGACCCAAAAAUCUUCCAAUAAAAAAUCGCCACCUGUAUUUUCACUGUCUUUUGUUCUGCUGGUUCUUCGGCCCAGUCUAGCUAGCGAUGAUGGCAACCCAAAGCCACGAUACUGAUCAGAAACCAUCGUCGUUUGAUCAAGCUCCGGCAGUCAGAUCUUGUCGUCGAAGAAAGAAUUUUGGGAGUGGUAGCUUUGUGUCCAACUUAAGAGAUCACUUUCAUGAGUUUCUUCAGGCUUCUGCAAGUGAACAUAGAACUUGCUUGAAAGAAACCGUUCAGAAGAUGUUGAAAGCAUCAAAAGCUUAUAACGAAAAGAGUGCUGACCCUGUUGGAGAAAGUUCGCUGCCUCUUCAAACAACCACAAAAGAGUAGGAAGUUCUUGGUUGCAAUUUUUUGUGUCACCAAUUUCAUGUAGUAUUACAUGCUACAUUGUUUUUGUUUCUAAUGCUUACUUGUCCACCCCCUUUCAUAUGAUGUUUCAUCUUUCUUGUUUGUUUAUCCGGGCCCAAAUUCUGUUUUUAUUAAUUGAGUAGCUUUAAUUUUAGUUUCAACUGUACUAUGAAAUAGUUUAAGAACUUUUUGGAGCAAUUGCAAAUCAUUUAAUGACAAGGAAAUAAAGGAUGUAAUUAGUUAUUCAGUUCUUGCUUAA